rnacentral:lncRNA from 1 species
UGCUGAAUAUUUUCAUGUGCUUACUGACUGAUGCAAGUUUUAAUGAUGAAUAAAGAUGAUUUCUACCGACAAUUCUCUCCUCGGGGGGCCCACAUAUCUGCCCAGAGGUAUGACACUCAGCCAGAUUUUGAGACUCACCACUUGCUCAUUUCCAAGCUUCCGGGCAGUGGGGUUUGGGAGACGACAGCUUCCCAAGCAAGGCAUAGCAACCAGAGAUUUAUACCCCUCUUUCUGUCUCUCUUUUUUUUCCUUUCCUGUCAGAUGCAGGUGAGCCUUUCCUGGAACAAAUUCCUUCAGAAAAAUUCUCCACCAGACCAUCAAUUCAGGAGAGUAAAUGGGGAGCUUAUUGUUAGCAGUUGGGGCCAAACCACCGGAGUUUCCUAUGCCAGUGUCCGCUCACUCCAGGCUGCUGCUGGUCCUGCAAUCAGACAAAUCCAAACCACGGGUAUCUGGGG